rnacentral:lncRNA from 1 species
UUUCACCCCAGCAUAGUUUGUCCACCCGUUGGGGUUUUAGUUUUGGCAGUUUGCCACGGUGUUUUAGUCAAUUAGUUCAUAUGUACAUUAUGGUGUUCAAUUUUUAUGAUCAAAUGCCAAUUUAACGUUUAUCAUUGACAGAGGAUAAACUGGGCAACGGUUUACUACAUACACAUUUUUGUAUUAUAAAUACAAACGGUAAGGUCUUAGUUACUUUCAUUCGUCUUCGUCUUCACUUCCAUUUCAGAAUUAAUAACAAAACUUACACGAUAUACAUUGGAAUGACAUCUUGCCGCUACCUUGAAAUUCUAGAAAGUCAUUUGCAAAAUUUUACAGUUGUUAUGCUCCUUUGAAAAUAGAGACAUGUUUUAUGAUACGUUCAUAUGUUGAUUGCAUUUUCGUGAGUUGUGAUACUUGUAUGUGUG